AACUGAAUAUUAUGCAGAGAGAACUUCUGAAGCAUGUUUAAUAAUGCUUAUACUUCUACACACUGUGAUAUUUCAAAGUCUGAUAGAUAGACUUAUUGCUGAUGAUGAAUUUUCAGUGCAAUAGGAGAGAGUUAAUAAUUUCUCUACAGUGGUUCCUAUUUAAUAUUAAAAUAUUAUUUUUCACUUUGAUCUUUAAGAUGGAGAAACAUAAACGUUGUAUGACCCUCGAUAUGAAAUUCAUCUGUAAAGAGUACCAAAUUGGCACAAGUUUUCAGCACUGUUUUGAGUCAACUUCAAUUUGUUGUUAUCUAACUUGUGGACCUGCUGUUUUUGUGUUUCCCUCAAUCUUGCUCACGGUUACUCAUGACAGGAAGGGGUGUUGAAGUUUUCUGAAGGCGUUCUUCUGUCAAGGCAGAUUUUGAGAACUCUGUAGCCGUAUCUGACAUUUCCAAAAUACAGCUGAGAAACACACAGCAACUCCAGACAACCGGAAGCUUCUGUGGAAAUAAAAAACUUGAUUCUGAUGGAUGGAAUUAUCAAUUAUUAUAUGAGGAGUGGACUCUUGCAGCAUGGUCACUGUUUUGUUAACAAAGCACUAAAGUUGUCAUAUAUGUCUAAACCAGUCUGAAUUUGGAGAUGAAAUAGACUACAUACAUGUACACUUGUAUCUGCUGAAGUAUUCCCAAACAGAUGAAUGUUAGAGUUCUUCCUGCCUCUACUGUAAAGACCGCUGGAAAACAAGAAAUGAAACACUUAAUUUAACACAGCAGUACAUUUUGUUCUUUCCUAUAGAAGUAUGCAAAUGAAGUAAUUAAACUGGGUUUCAUGAAACCAUCUCCCCUUUGUUUCUGAUCUACUAAUCAUGUAUGUGCUUGACUUUGUAUAUAGACAAGAUGUUUAUAUCAUCCUUUGUUUCUUUAGAGGUUCUCAUUCAAGUAUUGAUACAUCAUCUAUUCUGAGAGAUGGAGAAGGUUCAAAGCUAGUUUAAACAUGGCUUUGAACAACUAGAUCCAGUGGAAGAUACUCCUUGACAAUGGCAGAGGGUUGGACUAAAUGAUCUUUAAAUGUUCCUUCCAACCCAAAUCAUUAUAU
ensembl:lncRNA